GAUUGUAGUCUGCAACCCGACUACAUGAAGCUGGAAUCGCUAGUAAUCGCGAAUCAGAAUGUCGCGGUGAAUACGUUCCCCGGGUCUUGUACACACCGCCCGUCACACCAUGGGAGUCGGAAAUGCCCGAAGUCAGUGACCCAACCGCAAGGAGGGAGCUGCCGAAGGUGGAGCCGGUAACUGGGGUGAAGUCGUAACAAGGUACC
rnacentral:rRNA from 1 species